rnacentral:rRNA from 1 species
UACCUGAUUGAUCCUGCCAUGAUCC